rnacentral:rRNA from 1 species
AUUGAACGCUGGCGGCAUGCCUUACACAUGCAAGUCGAACGGCAGCAUGGGUGCUUGCACCUGAUGGCGAGUGGCGAGCGGGUGAGUAAUGCAUCGGAACGUGCCCUGAAGUGGGGGAUAACGUAGUGAAAGUUACGCUAAUACCGCAUAUUCUGUGAGCAGGAAAGAGGGGGAUCGCAAGACCUCUUGCUUUAGGAGCGGCCGAUGUCGGAUUAGCUAGUUGGUGGGGUAAAGGCCUACCAAGGCGACGAUCCGUAGCGGGUCUGAGAGGAUGAUCCGCCACACUGGGACUGAGACACGGCCCAGACUCCUACGGGCGGCAGCAGUGGGUAAUUUUGGACAAUGGGCGCAAGCCUGAUCCAGCCAUGCCGCGUGAGUGAAGAAGGCCUUCGGGUUGUAAGGCUCUUUCGGUGGGGAAGAAAUUGCUUCGGCUAAUAUCCGGGGUAGAUGACGGUACCCGCAUAAGAAGCACCGGCUAACUUCGUGCCAGCAGCCGCCGUAAUAC